CUGAACCCAUGUCAAACAUCAGACAGAAUGAGAAAAGAAUGAGAUAAGAUGAAGUGGAGUGAAACGGAGGGAUAAAAUAAAGAUGAAAGAAGGCGAAGAGAUAGAAAAGUGAGUGAUGGUCACCCUGCAUCAAAGCAUGGAAAGUAGUCACAUCCGAAAUAGACGGAAUGAUGGAUAGAGCAAGGAUCCAGAGAUACUGAAGAAAGGUCGCUCGCAUCUCUCACAAAAAAAACAAAUGGGCGAAUCAUACUCUCACCCAAAAUGUACAUCAAGAUGAAUCUCAAGAAUAAGCUCCCAUACGAGCU
rnacentral:lncRNA from 1 species